AUUAUAAGCUGAGUGAAAAUUGUGCCUCAAAGGUCAAGAGGGUGACGCAAUUUUUAAACUACAUGGCGAAGAAUGAGACCUACCAGUCCUCUCUCAUUUUCCUGACAGACCAUGACAAAAUAAGGAAGUAAGCAGAAUAUUUUUUUCUCUCUAGCCUCACAAGCAUUAACCAACAAUACAGUAUUUGAUUGUAUGAUUUGUGUGUGUGUGUGUGUGUGUGUGUGUGUGUGUGUGUGUGUUUUUAGAUGGGUUCAAUUCCUCCAGAAGAACAAGGCAAUCACCACAGUCAACCACUACACCUUGACUAUUGGUGCAUUUCUUAAAUAUUCUGAGGAGACCCCUCCAUCUGGCUGCCGGCUGACCGUGAACCAAUGGAGGGGGAUCAACCGGUUGAUGAAGGGCAUUAGCAAGUCCAUGAGACGACCAGUUUCCCUUCACCAGAUAAAGGUGAAGGACAACAAGGAAGGCAAGGUGGUGUCCAAAAAGAGCCUGCUGCAGUGCCAGUCUCUUGCCAAGGCCAAAAUCCCUCAAGUGCUGAGUAAGUUUUUCUCAAUCUGUGAUGUCACUGUUUUUACACACUUAUAGACGUCAGAGAUGUAUAGAAUGCAUUAUGGAGUGGGAUUAUGAAGCUGCCUUUUUUUAUUUUCAUGUUCACAGAAACAUUGGAAGAAACAAGGACACAGAGGAAUCAGUACAGGUUUUAUGGGUACCUGUGUGCCUACUUUACAUCCAUAUACGGCCACAGACCAGGCCUAUAUAAAAACAUGUUGGUGAAAGAGGUGGAGGAGGCAAAAUGUGACCAGUCUGGGGUGUACCUGAUCAAUGUAAGUCUAUGAAAUACAGCUGGCUGUGUUUAUUUGUUUGUUUGCUUGGUUGGUUAUCUUUGGAAACAAUUGCAGUCGCAGGAGCGUAAUGUGUUUUUUUGUGUUUUUUCUCUGUUCAAUUUCUAUUAGGUGGGGGAACACAAAACAAAUCGGGAGUACGGCAUGGUCCAGAUGUCGCUGACAAAGGAGGAGUACAGCUGGUUUUCCGACUUCCUCAAAUUCAAGCACUGUCUCUUAGGGGGAAAGAAGGCCCAGCACUUCUUUUUCAAUUCAACAAACACUCAGAUGAAGAACCUGCCUGCCUACCUGAGGGAGGUGUGGAAGGAGAUGGGUCUGCCCGAAUGUCCUUCAUUCACUGACCUGAGGACCUCCAUUGUCACUCAUGUAAAAAACAUGCUCCCAAAGGUUGACAGGGAAAGGGUGGCCAACUUCAUGUGCCACAACAUCCAGACGGCAGACAAAUAUUAUGCCAUGAAUUUAAAUCCAACCCAAGCAAAUGAAACCAGGGCACUCUUUGAGGCUGCACUGAAGGGGGAAGAUAACACAGUCGCCGCAGAGAACCAGCCCUCCACCUCAGGAGAAAGAAAGCAGAAGGUGAGAGAGGAUGCCUCCCUCUCCGACGGGAGCACCACCCCUGAAGAGACCAAGGUGAUGUACCAGGAGUCUGGCACGUCCGCCGGUGACUCGGAAGAGGAGGAAGAGGAUGAAGAUGAGGAACAGAUGGCCAGACAACUUCCAGUAAGAUCAGCUAUUCUGACAGGACACAUUUGAUUAUCAAAAUGUACUUGUAAACUAUGUAACAGUCAAGUGUGAAUUCUGAGAUAUAUCUAAUUUCUUGUGUUUGCUCUGUCAGGAGACACCUUCCAAGGUGACCAAUCCUCAGGUGGAGAUGGAACUUACCCCAAAGAGGAAGCGGAGCAUCUGCACACGCCGCAUGGAGGUCGCCAUCAGCCCCAUGC
rnacentral:lncRNA from 1 species